rnacentral:rRNA from 1 species
UACGAAGGGGGCUAGCGUUGUUCGGAAUUACUGGGCGUAAAGCGCACGUAGGCGGAUUGCUAAGUCGGGGGUGAAAUCCUGGAGCUCAACUCCAGAACUGCCUUCGAUACUGUAGAGCUUGAGUUCGGGAGAGGUGAGUGGAACUGCGAGUGUAGAGGUGAAAUUCGUAGAUAUUCGCAAGAACACCAGUGGCGAAGGCGGCUCACUGGCCCGAUACUGACGCUGAGGUGCGAAAGCGUGGGGAGCAAACAGG